GUAGUCCUAGCCGUAAACGGUGUGCACUUGGUGUGGGAGGAUUUAUCCCCUUCCGUGCCGGAGCUAACGCGUUAAGUGCACCGCCUGGGGAGUACGGCCGCAAGGCUAAAACUCAAAGAAAUUGACGGGGGCCCGCACAAGCGGUGGAGCAUGUGGCUUAAUUCGAUGCAACGCGAAGAACCUUACCAAGGCUUGACAUGCAAUUGCACGCCCAGCGAAAGCUGGGCUCCUUCGAGGGUAUUGCACAGGUGCUGCAUGGCUGUCGUCAGCUCGUGCCGUGAGGUGUUAGGUUAAGUCCUGCAACGAGCGCAACCCUUGUGAAUAGUUGCUCGCCCUUUGGGCAGCACUCUAUUCAGACUGCCUGUGAUAAGCAGGA
rnacentral:rRNA from 1 species